rnacentral:rRNA from 1 species
GAGGCAGCAGGUGGGGAAUAUUGCACAAUGGGCGGAAGCCUGAUGCAGCAACGCCGCGUGCGGGAUGACGGCCUUCGGGUUGUAAACCGCUUUCGCCUGUGACGAAGCGUGAGUGACGGUAAUGGGUAAAGAAGCACCGGCUAACUACGUGCCAGCAGCCGCGGUGAUACGUAGGGUGCGAGCGUUGUCCGGAUUUAUUGGGCGUAAAGGGCUCGUAGGUGGUUGAUCGCGUCGGAAGUGUAAUCUUGGGGCUUAACCCUGAGCGUGCUUUCGAUACGGGUUGACUUGAGGAAGGUAGGGGAGAAUGGAAUUCCUGGUGGAGCGGUGGAAUGCGCAGAUAUCAGGAGGAACACCAGUGGCGAAGGCGGUUCUCUGGGCCUUUCCUGACGCUGAGGAGCGAAAGCGUGGGGAGCGAACAGGCUUAGAUACCCUGGUAGUCCACGCUGUAAACGGUGGGUACUAGGUGUGGGGUCCAUUCCACGGGUUCCGUGCCGUAGCUAACGCUUUAAGUACCCCGCCUGGGGA